rnacentral:pre_miRNA from 1 species
UGGUAUACCAAUAAUUGAGAUAACAUCUAGGUUUAAUGAUCUUUUGAGUAGCUAAUUUGUAUAGUUAUUUCAUGUACACUUGCACAAAAAUAUUAUUGAACCUUGAUGUUAUCUCAGUGUUGGCAUGCAUAA